rnacentral:misc_RNA from 1 species
GUAUGUGAUCCAAAGAGCCUACUUUUCUUGUUUGGAAUGCAAUUGGACUACAGUGACGCACUUAUUGGUGGGGGCUUCUCUUUCAAGAAUCCAAAUGCUACACAAACAUGUGGUUGUGGGAAAUCAUUUGCUGCAGAAAUGUAGGACCAUCAUUUGUAUAUAUGAAUGAUUCAAUAGAAACUUGAUAAUUUCAGGUUAGAGAAAACUUAGAAUGUGAAAAAACUCCUGGUUUGCUUGACCAUUGAUCCUAAUAGUAUGUAUACCUUCUAUUACAA